AGAGUCUUUAAGUACAGAUGGUUUUCCAUCCAUUUCUUCUCAGUUUUACUCUUUCUCUUAGGUGGACUAUACUCCUGGAGCUGUAUGUGGUCUGAGGCAUCUUCUAUGCAUAUUUGUUAAGAAUGAAAAUAUAAGACACACUACGUCUCAUUUUUUUUUCGCCAAACUCUACCCUUCCUCUGGUGACCCUGUUCUUUGCUGAGGCUGGCCCCCGGCAACUGGCGCCCGAACAGGGACCUGAAGGACAAAACUUCCCCUUUGUGGAUACCCGACAGACUCAUCAGACAUGCAAGACCCAAAAACCACCAAAAAUCCUCCAACACUUCCUCCCUCACUGCUCACAAACCUAACACCUCCCACGACUCUUCUGAGAAAUCUGUCUCUUGAAAAUGCUCCAUCUACACCCCCAUCUUCGCCUGUCUCUAGUUCUUCCUCCUCUUCAUCUUCUACUCCACCCCCUCUCACUGACUUUAUACAACCCUCUACAAAUCUCAACAACUCUUCAUCUCGAGACAAAGUGCGGUGGAGAAGCCGGAGAUAUACUCCUUAUUCAAGAACCCAUCGAACCAUUGCGGCUGAGCCCCCAACUUGGGGCCAACUCAAAAAACUUACUCAUCUGGCUCACACCUUAACCGUGGAUCAACAUAUUCCCGUAAAUGCGGGUACUCUUUUUGUGGCUAUGCUCGCUAUCAUUUCCUGCCAGUCAUCUUCCGAAUCUUAAAUCAAGCUAUCCAAAAGGUGGCUUCAGAUCUUCAUCUGGCGAAAUUAAAAAAUAAGAAAGGGGGAGAUGCUGGGAGCCAGGCUGCAAGGGAGGCCCCUCUGCACCCACUGCCCCCAGCAUAAACAUCGAAGAAUUCCUGAAAAGUCAGGAAUAUCUCUGUCAUCUGUGUUAUGUUUCUGUUUCAUUUUCAGCCUGUGUAUAGCAGAAUGUAUAAGCAUAAAAUUCCAUUAUAGAUUUAGGGACCUUUGGAGGGGGGCGUCCUACUCAUAAUCCCCUGGUAAAAUCCCGGGUAGGGACAGCCCGUGUAUUACCUGGGGAUCAACAUGAAGUUGUCUUAGGGGGAAAACGAAUAGCUCGACUAUGGAAAACAAAAAGAGGAUGGUGGAAUUCUGGUACUUACUGAGGCCCUUUUGUGAUUAAACCACCACCCACACAUGAUCCCAUAAAAGUGGAAAAACAAUAUUUUGAAUUUCUAUUGGCAAGAAAUUGGGAUUAUGACGCUGAUUGGAGACCAUAUAGAGUAGAAGGAAGUUUUAUUACUCCAAAACCGGCUUGGGGGUGUAGAGAUUGGGCUAAUUGUCCUUGGCAUAAUCGUGGACAAUAUGAUGUAACCCAAAGUGGCUGGACUUCAAGAACUUGGCCACCCUGGACAAGAUGGACAAAGCCUAUGUGGCAAUGGUUUUGCAAAAAGAUUAAUUGUUAUAAAAACUGUGGAAGGUAUUGCAAGAUUAAGCAUAAGUGUAAAGCAGUAUGAAGUCAAUUGUUACUUUGUGUAAAAAUAAAUCAACAAAAUGUUCUCUUCAAUUAAACAAAAACUCAUUGUAUUUGUGUGCGUAUGCAGAACUGUACUACGUGUCACUUGGAAAAUUAUGUCUCUGGAAGAUGAUGUUAUCUAUGAUGAUUAUAUCUUGUACUGCCCCUUUGUUGAUCAUGCGAUGUUAUGCUUAUGUAAGCUUAUGAUAUAAAAGACCAUGUAAAAAAUAAAGAAGAGGCUUUUUUUUUUUCUGCAGAAUGAAAAUAUAAGACACACUACGUC